UUUGCAGGAGGAGAAGACAUAAUCAUGCUAGCUUUUCCUUACCUAAUCAAACCAGUGAUGAACGAUGGUGAGCGGUAGCUUUGGUGGACGUGACCUCCGAAACUCUCUUUCACUCUUGGUGAUCUCUUCCUAUCUCUCACCAACAUACGAUCACCACUACAGAAUCAGUGACAACAAUGCCUCACGGACUUAAAAACGAUGAUGGCCGGUGACUUUAGUUUCGGGCUUAAGAUGGAGACGUAAAU